UACAGAGGUCCCGAGCGUUGUUCGGAUUCACUGGGCGUAAAGGGUGCGCAGGUGGGUUGGCAAGUUUGAUGUGAAAGCCCCGGGCUUAACCCGGGAAUGGCAUUGAAUACUGUUGAUCUGGAGGAUCGGAGGGGGGACUGGAAUUCUUGGUGUAGCAGUGAAAUGCGUAGAGAUCAUGAGGAAGACCAGUGGCGAAGGCGGGUCUCUGGACAGUUCCUGACACUGAGGCACGAAGGCCAGGGGAGCAAACGGG
rnacentral:rRNA from 1 species